rnacentral:rRNA from 1 species
AAACUUUCAACAACGGAUCUCUUGGUUCUGGCAUCGAUGAAGAACGCAGCGAAAUGCGAUAAGUAAUGUGAAUUGCAGAAUUCAGUGAAUCAUCGAAUCUUUGAACGCACAUUGCGCCCUCUGGUAUUCCGGAGGGCAUGCCUGUUCGAGCGUC